UGGGGAAUAUUGCGCAAUGGGCGAAAGCCUGACGCAGCGACGCCGCGUGAGGGAUGACGGCCUUCGGGUUGGUAAACCUACUUUCUAGCAGGGAAGAAGCGAAAGUGACGGUACCUGCAGAAGAAGCACCGGCUAACUACGUGCCAGCAGCCGCGGUAAUACGUAGGGUGCAAGCGUUGUCCGGAAUUAUUGGGCGUAAAGAGCUCGUAGGCGGUCUGUCGCGUCGGAUGUGAAAACCCAGGGCUCAACCCUGGGCCUGCAUUCGAUACGGGCAGACUAGAGUUCGGUAGGGGAGACUGGAAUUCCUGGUGUAGCGGUGAAAUGCGCAGAUAUCAGGAGGAACACCGGUGGCGAAGGCGGGUCUCUGGGCCGAAACUGACGCUGAGGAGCGAAAGCGUGGGGAGCGAACAGGAUUAGAUACCCUGGUAGUCCACGCCGUAAACGUUGGGCUCUAGGUGUGGGGAACCUUCCACGUUCUCCGUGCCGCAGCUAACGCAUUAAGCGCCCCG
rnacentral:rRNA from 1 species